CGUUUUCUUAACAAUAAAAUGGGACAUAGCCCAGUCCUGGGUUGCUGUGAAAAUCCAAGAAGAAUGCCUCUGGGCCCUGAAAUCCACAGCAAGAAGGCCUCCAGGGGGCCUGGGACUCCCA